AGAGAAAAACAAAUGAUGAGCGGGUUUUCAUCACACACCCACAAUUCAGGUCAAGUCAGAGAGCUAGAAUUUUACAUCUCCAUGAUUCUCUAGUCUCAUAAAACUGUGUAUAAUAAAAUAUUUACUUCCAAAAAUCUGUGUUCAAAUGUCAAAAACCUCUGUCAUAGUUCUAUUCCAGACAAGAAUCAUUGAAACAGUUUGAUUUAACAAAUUAUGCACAUAAAUGGCUCUUAGGACAGAAUGUGAAAAAAUUACAUUCAAGCAACUAUCUGUAAUACACUACUAGGAAAUGAUAAAACAGUAGCAAAGAGAGUUUUGCUAUCUAUUAUAAGGUCUUUUUGUUAUGUGGGACUGUAGAUUAACCCCACUAAGGCCUUGCAAAUGUAUUAGCAGUGAACUCUCAACAGAACCAAUUCAUAUCAUGAGCCUGAAAGAAUGAGAAUCAAUUCUCCAGAGUCUGCCAAUUAGCCAGAUUUGAUCUGCAAACCCUGAAUGUCAAGCAGUGUUAUCUUUUUCUUUUGGAGUAAAAGCAAGACAACUAUAAACUGUGGCUUAACUUAUUCUAUGCAAAUAGAAGUCCAAGACUUGCCAAGUAUAGAUAUAGUUAAUUAUUUAACAUACUCUUUAGUCUAUUAAUCAAUAGUUAAAUGAAAAUAGGUUCUACAAAGCAUUUUUAACAAUCAGAGAAUUAUCUAACGGUCAGGAAAAUGACAAGAUAGUAAUUUUGCCAGGCACAUGUGGCAGCUAGAACAUGCUCAUGCACAUCUCAUGCAGUGAAUGCUAGUUGAGCUUGGUUUACAGCCAAAGAAAACCAUUUACAACGUGGAAAUGCAAGCUUUGAAACAAAAAAUACACUUAAAUGAUUUACGAUUAUACCAAACAGAAAGGUAAUUUUCACCAGCAAAAUAUCAAUCUGAGUAAAAGCAUAUUCACAUUUAUACUAACUCCUGCUCACAAGAUAAAAGCACACUGAAAUACUUUAGUACAUAUGCAUGAAACUAUAAACAAUAAAUGCAAAGAAUUAAGAUACAUAUAAGUAUAUGUAGGACAUACACUCCAUGUGAAUCUACCUCUUGGUGAAAUGGAAUUUCCAAUACAUGUUUCAGGUUAGUAUUUGUACUAAGUGAUCCUGGACAGAAAAAAAAUUAUUCUUCAUGAAAAACUCUGUCUAUAAUUUAUCAGUUUUAGUUGCAAUUUUUAAAUCUGUAUGUUGAUUUAAAGUGGUGAAAAUAGAAACAUCAUUUGUGUUUUGUUUGAUGGAAGGAGAGAUUAAGUUUUGAGCUGAAGGAAAAAUAUUCUAGAGGUAUCUUAAGAGAAAGUGGGGGUUGAGGGUAAUCAGUAUGUGUAAUAUCCAUGCAUGAACUCCUCAAAGAACAAAUUUAAUUUAUUAGAAAAGAUGCUUCACACAUUAAUGGCUUCAAUGAACUUGUAUUUAUCAUAAGAUAUACUUGUUAUCAGUUUAAAAUUAGAGGAAAAGUUGGCUGUUGAAAACUUCUGAAGCACUAAGACUAACAACAUAUUCCCACAUCUAGACACUUCUCAAAUAUACGAGGGAUGAUCAUAGAACUUAAGAGUUUCAACUCAUUCUUUCCUCAGCUUUCUAUUUGCUACACACACUCAGAAACCCCUUAGAUUUUUUUUUUAGUACCUCUCAUGAAGUUGUGAGCAGAAGACAUAAGAUGAAGCUAAUUUAGUUAUCAUUUCCCAGUUUGGUAAGAUCUUUUUCAAGAUUUUAGAUCACUAUCUCAGAGGACUAUUUGGCAAUAUCAUUGCAAUUCUAGCUAAAUGAUGAUACUUGGAAGGGAGUCUGUCAUGCUGGCAUGGAAUACUGGGCUCCUCAGUUACUAUGGAGGUAGUGGUUGUGAUAUGCUGGCCUGUAUCACUGUAAGGAAUAUCUGACUUUUGGGCGAGUAGGCCUCAGUGAGGAAGGGGACUUAACAGAUUCUCAAGGGCAGAGACCAUUCUAUGUUCAAGCUGAGCAACUCUCCUUUUCUGGGUUUCUAUGAUGGACAGGCAGACUUCUGAUCAGUGUUUUCCCAUGUGGUUUGUCAGCUGAAUAAAGACAUGCCUGCUAUACUUUUCUUUAAAAUAUUUUAUUGUUUUUUAUUAUGUUAUAAGUCUAUUGCAUGUAUGUAGAUACACCCAUGUUGUGCAGUGUCCAUGGAAACCAGAAGAGGCCAUCAGAUUCCCUGGAACUGGAGUUAAGGAUGGUUGUUAGCAACCUUGUUGGUGCUGGGACCAAGACCCAGAUCCUGUGCAGCAGCAAUCAGUGCUCUUAAUGGCUGAGCCACCUCUCCAGCCCCUAAAUGUUAUACUUUGCAUCACAUCAUAGCAUGUUAAUCACAUUGUUGAUAAGAAUCUAUAUCCCUAGAUGAGUGAAAGUAAGACCCAGUUUUAAGUGUGGAUGAAUCUGAGUUUCUGAACCUGCAAGCCUUAGGUUUUGAGUAUUCCUGUAUUUAGGGUACUGUGGCAAGUUCUAUGUAUGCGGUCAAUAGUUCAUGAGAGAUAAUCAGUAUAAUUACAAUGUUUAGGGCAGCAUUUAACUUUUUGACACAUUUGUGUAUAUAUCAAUUGAGAAAAAUUUCAAGGUACAAAAUUUGAAAGACUCCUAAAACAAGCUCUUUAUGAAUUAUUCAUAAUGCACCAUAGAUUAAAUGUUAAAGAAUAGUUAAAAUAUUAUGUCCAGUUUGUAGGGUAUUUUGAGAGCUAUAGAUCCUGUUGUAUUAUGAAAGAUAUGGCCAGGAAUGGGGAUGUACACUUUAAUCCCAGCACUUGGGAGGCAGAGGCAGGCAGAUCUCAGCCUGAUCAACAUAGUGAGUUCCAGGCCAGUUGGGGCUACAGGGAGACCCUGUCUCAAAAAAUAUGGUACUUGUAAAUGACUAUUUUUUAUUAUUUUAAAUUUCAUUUAUUAUUUUUAUUAUAUGUGUAUGAGUGUAUUGCCUGCAUGUAGGUCAGUGCACCUAUGGUGUACAGUGCCAUCAGAAAAAGAUGUCAGACUCCCUGGAACUGGAGUUACAGACAGCCGUUAGCCACCAUGUGUGCUGGGAUUUGAAUCUAGGUCCUCUGCACAAGCAGUCACUGCUCUUAACUGUUGAGGCAUCACUCUAGCCCUCAUCUUUCAAAUAAAACUCACUCUGAAACUACAGUUUGCUUCUUUAGUCUCUCUUGUUUGGGUCAUUCUAAUAUAGUGGGGGACAGGGCUUUCCGGGAUGCUAAAACUUAAGAGAUACUCUUUUGGAUCAUGUGAACAUUGAUUCUACUUUCUCUCUCGAGAUAAGGAUGCAAGCCUUGCUAAUGUGGAGUCUGGCUCAAAAUUAGGAGAGUCUAACAUUAUGUACCACUUUAAAUGGAAACAGAUAUUUUGGCAGCUGAAACUAAUAUGAAACUGUGACACGAUCUGAAUGAGCACAGCAAUCCACAGCCCCGUCACCCUGAAUGUGCCCAAUCACAUCUGAAACAAGUGCACCAUACGGCGAGACUCCAUCUCUGAGUCUAUAAUGUAAGUGCACCUGUGUCAUGCAAUGCCCGCAGAAGACAGAAG